UUUCUCUCUGUGCUGGCAGUAGUUAUCAGCCGCACCACCGAGUGAUUUUAUUUAUAUAUUUUAUUUCCCCUUUUUUUUUGGAAAACCAGUGAAAGUCACCUCAUAAUUUAGAAUAUUAAAGGAUCCGCCAGUUCUAGUCGGCCUUGGGAUCCUAAGGGAAGCUAAGUGCUUAGAAAACCCUCCUCCUACUGCUCAGACACCCUCCACACUCUGAAAUUACCCCAACCGGCUCAUAAUUGGGACCAGCUGGCAGGAUGAGAGAGGAGGCCCCUGCCCCGAGCCAGGAAUCGCGUUGCAAAUUUCAUCCCUAGAAAGAAGCUUGACUUGCUCCUUUAAGGGUUAAGAGGUAGGAGGUCAAAGGCACAGCGCUCAGGAGCUGGGAUUUAAAUUGGCUACAGGGAACCUGAAAACAAAGGGCGUUCACAUUAGCAACCGUGGCUCCCUUGCUUUGUCUAGGACCAAGUGUAUGCGAAAUAGCCCAGGCGACCCUGCCGGGCUACGGCCUCCGCCGAAUUUCACUUUACAGCCUGUCUUUCCAGAACUGGCAUCGUUAAUUUGUAUGCUGCCCGAAAGCUGUCCUUUUCCCAAAGCCCUCCUCACAAAGCAGAUGCAGACCUCCAGAAGUGCACCGGAAAUAGGAGUCAAUUUCAAGUGUCAGAAACCAAGACCCCUGACUGGUUCGGCAUCUGUCCCUGCAAGACUUAGAAAACCAACCCUGUGCUUAAGAGGGAGAAGUAGAGAUGAAAGAUGAAAGACGGAGCAGCGGAAUCAAGAGAAGGAAUUAGCAGAACAGGACAAUGUGGUUUCAAUGGUUUUCUGCGACUGUUUCAGGAACAACAGUUCCUUGAUUUGGACUUGCUCCUGGAGAGAAAUGAAGGUGUGAGCGUUUACUUCAUACAUUUAUCAAAUGUGCUGCAUGCUUGGGAGCGCACAGAUACAUGGGCACGCGUAUGCCUACUGUGAUAUGAUAAAUAUAUGCAUGAGGGAAAUGGGGCUCCGGCUCGUUGUAUAGGUGGGGAGAUUUUAUGGAACAAGCCUAUUUAAUAUGUCAAAGGGAAAACAUUACUUAUGACGCCCUAUUAGCACAUCAUUCGUCUUACUGGGAAGACAGAAUGAAGAAUAUUUAACAAUUAAUAGAAAUCAUAGGAAGAAUUAUGAUUAAGUGCCAUCUGCUGGCUUCUGUGGGUUUUAUUUUUAUGCAGCGUUGAGCCUGUCCUCAUAAUUAUCGAACGUCUCUCUUGCGCUGAG
rnacentral:lncRNA from 1 species